GCUUUCGUGGUGUAGUGGUCAGUACGCUGGGCGCUUAUUCCAGAGGUCCGUGGUUCGAGUCCCGCCAAAGGCG
rnacentral:tRNA from 1 species